rnacentral:rRNA from 1 species
CGCGUGAGUGAUGAAGGUUUUCGGAUCGUAAAGCUCUGUCAGAGGGGAAGAAUUUCCCGAGUGUUAAUACCACUUGGGCUUGACGGUACCCUCAAAGGAAGCACCGGCUAACUCCGUGCCAGCAGCCGCGGUAAUACGGAGGGUGCAAGCGUUGUUCGGAAUUAUUGGGCGUAAAGCGCGUGCAGGCGGUUGUUUAAGUCUGAUGUGAAAGCCCUGGGCUCAACCCAGGAAGUGCAUUGGAAACUGGGCAACUUGAGUACGGGAGAGGGUAGUGGAAUUCCGAGUGUAGGGGUGAAAUCCGUAGAUAUUCGGAGGAACACCGGUGGGCGAAGCGGCUACCUGGACCGAUACUGACGCUGAGACGCGAAAGCGUGGGGAGCAACAGGAUUAGAUCCCUGGUAGUCCACGCUGUAAACGAUGGGUACUAGGUGUUGCGGGUAUUGACCC